rnacentral:misc_RNA from 1 species
GAUGAAGAACGUAGCGAAAUGCGAUAAGUAAUGUGAAUUGCAGAAUUCAGUGAAUCAUCGAAUCUUUGAACGCACAUUGCGCCCGCCAGUAUUCUGGCGGGCAUGCCUGUUCGAGCGUCUUUACAACCCUCAGGCCCCCGGGCCUGGCGUUGGGGAUCGGCGGAGCCCCCCGUGGGCACACGCCGUCCCCCAAAUGCAGUGGCGGUCCCGCCGCAGCUUCCAUCGCGUAGUAGCUAACACCUCGCGACUGGAGAGCGGCGCGGCCACGCCGUAAAACACCCAACUCUUCUGAAGUUGACCUCGAAUCAGGUAGGAAUACCCGCUGAACUUAAGCAUAUCAAUAAGCGGAGGA